GGGGAAUAUUGGACAAUGGGCGAAAGCCUGAUCCAGCCAUGCCGCGUGUGUGAAGAAGGUCUUCGGAUUGUAAAGCACUUUAAGUUGGGAGGAAGGGCUGCAAGUUAAUACCUUGUAGUUUUGACGUUACCAACAGAAUAAGCACCGGCUAACUUCGUGCCAGCAGCCGCGGUAAUACGAAGGGUGCAAGCGUUAAUCGGAAUUACUGGGCGUAAAGCGCGCGUAGGUGGUUUGGUAAGAUGGAUGUGAAAUCCCCGGGCUCAACCUGGGAACUGCAUCCAAAACUGGCGAGCUAGAGUAUGGCAGAGGGUGGUGGAAUUUCCUGUGUAGCGGUGAAAUGCGUAGAGAUCAGGAGGAACAUCCAUGGCGAAGGCAGCUACCUGGACCAACACUGACACUGAGGCACGAAAGCGUGGGGAGCAAACA
rnacentral:rRNA from 1 species